GACGAACGCUGGCGGCGUGCCUAAUACAUGCAAGUAGAACGCUGAAGGAGGAGCUUGCUUCUCUGGAUGAAUUGCGAACGGGUGAGUAACGCGUAGGUAACCUGCCUGGUAGCGGGGGAUAACUAUUGGAAACGAUAGCUAAUACCGCAUAAGAGUAGAUGUUGCAUGACAUUUACUUAAAAGGUGCAAUUGCAUCACUACCAGAUGGACCUGCGUUGUAUUAGCUAGUUGGUGGGGUAACGGCUCACCAAGGCGACGAUACAUAGCCGACCUGAGAGGGUGAUCGGCCACACUGGGACUGAGACACGGCCCAGACUCCUACGGGAGGCAGCAGUAGGGAAUCUUCGGCAAUGGACGGAAGUCUGACCGAGCAACGCCGCGUGAGUGAAGAAGGUUUUCGGAUCGUAAAGCUCUGUUGUAAGAGAAGAACGAGUGUGAGAGUGGAAAGUUCACACUGUGACGGUAUCUUACCAGAAAGGGACGGCUAACUACGUGC
rnacentral:rRNA from 1 species